rnacentral:rRNA from 1 species
UAGCAUGGGAUAAAUGGAAUAGGACCCUGUCCUCCUAUUUUCAGUUGGUUUUGGCAGCGCGAGGACUAGGGUAAUGAUUAAUAGGGAUAGUUGGGGGCAUUAAUAUUUAAUUGUCAGAGGUGAAAUUCUUGGAUUUAUGAAAGAUUAACUUCUGCGAAAGCAUCUGCCAAGGAUGUUUUCAUUAAUCAAGAACGAAAGUUAGGGGAUCGAAGACGAUCAGAUACCGUCGUAGUCUUAACCAUAAACGAUGCCGACCAGCGAUUAGGAGACGUUGAAUACAAAACACCACCAUCGGUGCGGUCGUCCUUGGCGUUGGUGUUUUCAAAAGCCCGCGCGGGUGGGUUGCCCAGGCGGGUCGCGUCAGUGA